rnacentral:rRNA from 1 species
CAUGCAAGUCGAACGGAAACCUUCGGGUUUUAGUGGCGAACGGGUGAGUAACACGUAAGCAACCUGCCCUUAAGACGAGGAUAACAAUUGGAAACAAUUGCUAAGACUGGAUAGGAAAAGUAAAGGCAUCUUUGCUUUUUUAAAAGAUCUUCUUUGAAGGUAUGCUUAAGGAGGGGCUUGCGACACAUUAGUUAGUUGGCAGGGUAAAGGCCUACCAAGACUAUGAUGUGUAGCUGGACUGAGAGGUUGAACAGCCACAUUGGGACUGAGACACGGCCCAAACUCCUACGGGAGGCAGCAGUAGGGAAUUUUCGGCAAUGGAGGAAACUCUGACCGAGCAACGCCGCGUGAACGAUGAAGUACCUCGGUAUGUAAAGUUCUUUUAUUAAGGAAGAAAAAAGAGUGGAAAAACUCCCUUGACGGUACUUAAUGAGUAAGCCCCGGCUAAUUAUGUGCCAGCAGCCGCGGUAAUACAUAAGGGGCGAGCGUUAUCCGGAAUUAUUGGGCGUAAAGGGUGCGUAGGCGGUUUAAUAAGUCUAUAGUUUAAUUUCAGUGCUUAACGCUGUUGUGCUAUAGAAACUGUUUUACUAGAGUGAGAUAGAGGCAAGCGGAAUUCCAUGUGUAGCGGUAAAAUGCGUAAAUAUAUGGAGGAACACCAGAGGCGUAGGCGGCUUGCUGGGUCUUUACUGACGUUGAGGCACGAAAGCGUGGGGAGCAAACAGGAUUAGAUACCCUGGUAGUCCACGCCGUAAACGAUGAGUACUAAGUGUCGGGUAAAACUGGGUACUGAAGUUAACACAUUAAGUACUCCGCCUGAGUAGUACGUACGCAGUAUGAAACUUAAAGGAAUUGACGGGACUCCGCACAAGCGGUGGAUCAUGUUGUUUAUUCGAAGA